rnacentral:rRNA from 1 species
UACGGAGGGUGCAAACGUUGCUCGGAAUCAUUGGGCGUAAAGCGCACGUAGGCGGUCCAGCAAGUCGGGUGUGAAAGCCCUCGGCUUAACCGAGGAAGUGCAUUCGAAACUACUGGACUUGAGUACUGAAGAGGAUCGCGGAAUUCCCGGUGUAGAGGUGAAAUGCGUAGAUAUCCGGAGGAACACCAGUGGCGAAGGCGGCCACCUGGGCUGUACCUGACGCUCAAACACGAAAGCUAGGGGAGCGAACGGG